UCCCCACAGAGGGGAGCCAAGCGGGCUACAGUCCAUGGGGUCGCAAAGAGUUGGACACGACUGAGAGACUGAGCACAGCGCAUAGAACAUGGGACCCAAGGUAAUUCUCAAAAGACUCCUCCGUUUCAGUUUUAGAUACAGGAGCCAGCUCCACAAUUGAAAAGUAAAGAUGUUGUCUUCCUUAGCCAGUGGGGAGAAAGUUCCAGAAUUAGUGUCAGUUUGGGUAUCACAGAAUCAGAUGAGGAGCUCAGCAGAAAAUCAUACAGUGCAGCACAUGAUGACUCCAUCACCCAGGAAGGCUCACAAGAAGGGACUUAAAACAUUAGUAGUCUGUGUGAUUCAUGUACUGAUGACCUGUAUAAGAUGUAGGAUAGAAGAUAAACCUUAGAAAGGAUGUAUUCCUGAUGCAAUCAGACUAGGGACUUUACUUACCUAACGAGUAAGAACAAGUGACAGUUGAGUAAGUUCCUGUGAUUGCCAAAUGUGCUGGUAGUUUCUCAGAUUGUGGCUGCUGUGGAAAAAAGUCCCUUCUCCUGCACUUCCUCUCUCUGGAGCCUCGAAGUCCUGGGAAUGAAGAAGAACACAAUGAUGACUGUGGUCCUGAGUGAGAAGGUACUUUGGAAGAGGCAUGGUGAAGGCUUUAAGCCACGGUACUCUGUGAUCUUGGAUCUUGGUCUUUCUCUUAGUAAAGAGUUGGAAAACCUGUUCAAUCCACUUUUGAGAGAUUAUGGAGAAAGACAAAUUCAGGCAAGUGAUUCAUAGAUUAAAAGUAUCAUGAAAAACAGGAAAUGAGGAAGCAAGACUAUAAUCAAUCCUAAUAAAUGGUAAGUAAAUCCUCCCCUCACACAUGGAAAAAAUUGGGUGUGAAGAGGCAUGAUGUUCCUUCUAAAGUAUCAACAUUAUUGAAUAUAUGAAGUGCUGGCUCAUGAUGUUUCAUUUACCUCAAGUCUACUUUUAUUUCUCCCUCCACAUGUUUGUGUUUUUUCCUCAGUUCACUUGCUCAUGGGCUUUGCUUUGUUCCUGCUCAAAGACCAGAGCCCACAGUGGAGCCUGGAGCAGAGUGAGGAUUCAACAUAUACUUGUUGAGUCCAUCGGGUCAGAAGUCUACUCCAUCAAUUCCUUUGUUCAUUUUCUCAUUGGAUACCUUAUUGAGUAUUUGUUAUGUACCAGAUUCUGUGCCAGUUCAUGAGGAUAAAAAGAUGAAUCAGAAGUUGUCCCUUCCCUAAUGAAGCUCAUAAACUAGUGACCCAACAGUGACAUAAGCAGAGUUGAAAUUUCACUGGAUAAGCUUAAUAACAGACACAGGCUGUUAUUAAUAACAGCACAGUUGACACAGGCUGCAGCAGGGGGGAGAGGAGGGGCAGGGAGAGGUCAGAGGAGGUUCCAGAAGAAGGAAGCCUCACUUCCUGUACUGCAGAGAUCUCCAGAUGAGCCAAGGAAAGGCCCUGUGAGCACACAGCUGGAAGGUGACCAUCUACAAGCUAGGAGGAGUGUCCUCACCAGGAACCAGCCCUGCUGGCACCUUCAUCUUAGACUUCCCAGCUUUCAGAACAGGAAGAACACAAAUAUCUGCUGUUUAGGCCACACACUCUAUGCUAUUCUGUCCUAGCAUAGCCCUAGUUGACUAAGUCAACAAAUAAUAAUAAUUUUGGUUCUGCUUUAUAGAUAAAAUCCUCAUUAGUUAAAUAGACUUGUCAGGCCACUCAGCUGGAGCCAGGUUUCAAAGCCCAGCUUCCCUGGUCACCAAAACAUUGCCCUUUCACCAUAGUUCUCUGCUUUAUGCUGUCGUAUAUUUGUAGAAAGAAAGAAAGAGACUAGCUUGGUGGUCCACUGUUUGAGAAUCUGCCUGCCAGUGCAGGGGACAUGGGU